CAAGUCGUGGGAGAAGGAGUCUCUUCGGAGACUCUGGAGACCGGCGGAUGGGUGAGUAACGCGUAGGCAACCUGCCCGGGAGACGGGGAUAACCCACCGAAAGGUGAGCUAAUACCCGAUGAUGCAGCGGCCCCGCAUGGGGACAGUUGUUAAAGGCCUUCGGGCGCUUUUGGAUGGGCCUGCGUGUCAUUAGCUGGUUGGUAGGGUAACGGCCUACCAAGGCGAUGAUGACUAGGGGGUCUGAGAGGAUGAUCCCCCACACUGGGACUGAGACACGGCCCAGACUCCUACGGGAGGCAGCAGUGAGGAAUCUUGCGCAAUGGGGGAAACCCUGACGCAGCCACGCCGCGUGCUGGAAGACGGCCCUAUGGGUUGUAAACAGCUUUUGAUGGGGAAGAACCUGGGAGAUUCGUCUCCCGCUGACGGUACCCAUCGAAUAAGCACCGGCUAACUCCGUGCCAGCAGCCGCGGUAAUACGGAGGGUGCAAGCGUUGUCCGGAAUCAUUGGGUGUAAAGGG
rnacentral:rRNA from 1 species